GACGAACGCUGGCGGCGUGCUUAACACAUGCAAGUCGAACGGAGAGGCCCUGCUUUUGUGGGGUGCUCGAGUGGCGAACGGGUGAGUAACACGUGAGUAACCUGCCCUUGACUUUGGGAUAACUUCAGGAAACUGGGGCUAAUACCGGAUAGGAGCUCCUGCUGCAUGGUGGGGGUUGGAAAGUUUCGGCGGUUGGGGAUGGACUCGCGGCUUAUCAGCUUGUUGGUGGGGUAGUGGUUUACCAAGGCUUUGACGGGUAGCCGGCCUGAGAGGGUGACCGGCCACAUUGGGACUGAGAUACGGCCCAGACUCCUACGGGAGGCAGCAGUGGGGAAUAUUGCACAAUGGGCGGAAGCCUGAUGCAGCAACGCCGCGUGCGGGAUGACGGCCUUCGGGUUGUAAACCGCUUUCGCCUGUGACGAAGCGUGAGUGACGGUAAUGGGUAAAGAAGCACCGGCUAACUACGUG
rnacentral:rRNA from 1 species